rnacentral:rRNA from 1 species
GACGAACGCUGGCGGCGUGCUUAACACAUGCAAGUCGAGCGGUAAGGCCCUUUCGGGGGUACACGAGCGGCGAACGGGUGAGUAACACGUGGGUGACCUGCCCUUAGCUCUGGGAUAAGCCUGGGAAACUGGGUCUAAUACCGGAUAUGACUCCAUGACGCAUGUUGUGGGGUGGAAAGCCUUGUGCGGCUAGGGAUGGGCCCGCGGCCUAUCAGCUUGUUGGUGGGGUGAUGGCCUACCAAGGCGACGACGGAUAGCCGGCCUGAGAGGGCGACCGGCCACACUGGGACUGAGACACGGCCCAGACUCCUACGGGAGGCAGCAGUAAGGAAUAUUGCGCAAUGGGCGAAAGCCUGACGCAGCGACGCCGCGUGAGGGAUGACGGCCUGU